CAUCAAGCUACAAAGGGCGCACGGUGGAUGCCUUGGCGUCAGGAGCCGAUGAAGGACGCUGCCGGCGGCGAAAGGUCCGGGGAGCUGCCUAGCAAGCUUCGAUCCGGACGUGUCCGAAUGGGGAAACCCGGCGGGGGUCAUGCCCCGUCACCCGCCCCUGAAUCCAUAGGGGGCGAGGAGGUAAGUCGGGGAACUGAAACAUCUCAGUACCCGGAGGAAAAGAAAUCACCGAGAUUCCCUGAGUAGUGGCGAGCGAAAGGGGAACAGCCCAAACCGCGCCGGUGCCAUAGCCUGCAGGCGUUGCCGGCGCGGGGUUGUAGGGUGCGAUCGGACCGGGCUGCGGACCGGUCGGGGAGUUACCAAUCCUCUCUCUAGACGAAUCGCCCUGGAACGGCGAGCCGAAGAGGGUGACAGCCCCGUAGUCGAAAGGGGGAGGACUCCCUGGGUCGCAUCCCUGAGUACCACGGGACACGAGGAACCCCGUGGGAAGCCGGGGAGACCACUCUCCAAGGCUAAAUACUCCUGGCGACCGAUAGCGAACGAGUACCGUGAGGGAAAGGUGAAAAGAACCCCGGGAGGGGAGUGAAACAGAACCUGAAACCGUGUGCCCACAAGCAGUCGGAGGGCUAUGCCGCCUCCGGGCGGAAGAGCCUGACGGCGUGCCUAUUGAAGAAUGAGCCUGUGAGUUGUCGCGUGUGGCGAGCUUAAGGUGAAGAGCCGGAGGCGUAGGGAAACCGAGUCCGAACAGGGCGACCGAGUCGCACGCGGCAGACCCGAAACCGGGUGAGCUACCCAUGGCCAGGGUGAAACGCGGCUAAACCCGCGUGGAGGCCCGAACCCACCGUUGUUGAAAAAACGGGGGAUGAGCUGUGGGUAGGGGUGAUAUGCCAAUCGAACCCGGAGAUAGCUGGUUCUCCCCGAAAUGCAUUGAGGUGCAGCCCCGGUAUCGAGCGUCGCGGUGGUAGAGCACUGAAUGGGCUAGGGCGGCAGAAGCCGUACCGAACCCAAUCAAACUCCGAAUGCCGUGCCGUGCUUGCCGGGAGUGAGACGGCGGGGGAUAAGCUUCGUCGUCGAGAGGGGAACAACCCAGACCGUCGGCUAAGGUCCCGAAGUCCCAGCUAAGUGGAGAAGGAAGUGGCAUUGCUCAGACAGCCAGGAGGUUGGCUUAGAAGCAGCCAUCCUUGAAAGAGUGCGUAACAGCUCACUGGUCGAGUGGUGCUGCGCCGAAGAUAUAACGGGGCUCAAGCUGGGCACCGAAGCCACGGGUCUCGCAGGAGUGUCGUCUCCUGCGGGGCGGUAGGGGAGCGUUCUGCAGUAGGGUGAAGGCGGACCGCGAGGACCGCUGGACGAGGCAGAAGUGAGAAUGCAGGCAUGAGUAGCGAAAAGGCGGGUGAGAAUCCCGCCCCCCGUAAGCCUGAGGUUUCUUACGGAAGGUUCGUCCUCGUAAGGUUAGGCGGGAGCUAAGGUGAGGCCGAAAGGCGUAGCCGAUGCACAGCCGGUCGACAUUCCGGCCCCGCUUGGGGCUCGCUACGAGCCGCGGAGGGACGCAGAAGGGUAGCUCUACCGGCGAUCGGUCGUGCCGGGCCAACCGCGUAGGCCGAGGCCCCAGGCAAACCCGGGACCUCAGCAAGGCCGAGACGGGAGUGCGAGCGAACUUGAAACGUUCGCGAAGUGAGUGAUCCCACGCUGCCGAGAAAAGCUUCGCGGCCAGACCCCCAAGCGCCCGUACCGCAAACCGACACAGGUAGGCAGGCACUCAAGGUGCCAAGGGGCGCGAGAGAACUCUCCUCAAGGAACUCUGCAAAAUGACCCCGUAACUUCGGGAUAAGGGGUGCCCCGGUAGGGUGACCGCGCACAGCGGGAGCCCGAGGGGGUCGCAGACAAUAGGCCCAAGCGACUGUUUAACAAAAACACAGGUCUCUGCUAAGCCGUAAGGCGAUGUAUAGGGGCUGACGCCUGCCCAGUGCCGGAAGGUAAAGGGGAGGGGUCAGUGCGGCCUCCGGGCCGUGCGAAGCCCUGAACCGAAGCCCCGGUGAACGGCGGCGGUAACUAUAACCGUCCUAAGGUAGCGAAAUUCCUUGUCGGGUAAGUUCCGACCUGCACGAAUGGCGUAACGACUUGGGCGCUGUCUCGAGGAGAGACUCGGCGAAGGUGUACCACCCGUGAAGAUACGGGUUUCCCGCAGCUGGACGGAAAGACCCCGUGGAGCUUUACUGCAGCCUGAUAUUGGAUGUGGUUUUAGCGUGUAUAGGAUAGGUGGGAGGCUGAGAAGCCGGGGCGCCAGCCUCGGUGGAGCCGUCCUUGGAAUACCACCCUCGUUGGAACUACGUCCUAACCGGGGCCCUGGAUCGGGUUUCGAGACAGUGUCAGGUGGGCAGUUUGACUGGGGCGGUCGCCUCCCAAACGGUAACGGAGGCGCCCAAAGGUCCCCUCAGCACGGUUGGAAACCGUGCGGCGAGCGCAAGAGUAUAAGGGGGCUUGACUGCGAGACCUACAAGUCGAGCAGGGACGAAAGUCGGGUCUAGUGAUCCUACGGCGGCAAGUGGAAGCGCCGUGGCUUAACGGAUAAAAGCUACCCCGGGGAUAACAGGCUAAUAGGGCCCAAGAGUCCACAUCGACGGCCCUGUUUGGCACCUCGAUGUCGGCUCAUCUCAUCCUGGGGGGGUAGUACCUCCCAAGGGUUGGGCUGUUCGCCCAUUAAAGAGGUACGUGAGCUGGGUUCAGAACGUCGUGAGACAGUUCGGUCCCUAUCCACUGCGGGCGUAGGUGACUUGAGGGGGGCUGCUCCUAGUACGAGAGGACCGGAGUGGACGCACCUCUGAUGUACCGGUUGUCCCGCCAGGGGCACGCGCCGGGUAGUCAUGUGCGGUUGUGAUAAGCGCUGAAAGCAUCUAAGCGCGAAGCACGCCCCAAGAUGAGGUCACCCACCGGGCAAACCGGGUAAGACCCCAGGUAGACCACCUGGUCGAUAGGCCGGGAGUGGAAGCGCGGCAACGCGUGGAGCCUACCGGUACUAAUCGGUCGAGGGCUUGAUGCU
rnacentral:rRNA from 1 species